CGUGCUGAUUAGAUCUACAUAACCUUGAAGCUAACUUUUUGUAUAAAUUCAAUAUUACAAAAUACUCAGAGCGACCUUCGUACUGAUAGUACGCGUUUUACGUUUUUCGUAGAGGUUAGUUAAAAAUAAAAUGACAAAAAUAUUUCAAUUAAUUCAAAUUCCGAAACGUCUGUAUUCUGGAUCGACUAAAGGCAAAGUGAUAGCAAAAAAAUAUGUAUUAACCAAAUAUUUUCAAGGUGAGCCGAAGGCUAGUGAUUUCAAAGUUGUUGAAGAAGAACUCCCGGAUCUAAAAAAUGGAGAAAUAUUGGCACAAGCCGAAUACCUGAGCGUCGACCCAUAUAUGCGAGCCUACAUGAUUGGUUAUAAACUGCCGACUGACAUGAUUGGGAGCCAAGUGGCUAAGGUAAUAGAGAGCCGUAAUGAAAAAUACCCAGUCGGUAGCUACGUGACAGAUUCAUUUGGAUGGCGGACUCAUACUAUUUGCAAUCCUGAUACUGUACGACCACAGGAAGUUAUGCCUUUAACAAAGAUUCCAAAUGUCAAGCCUCAUCCUGUGUCCUUAGCCCUCGGAGUUUUGGGAAUGCCUGGAAACACUGCUUACUUCGGCUUGAAAGAGAUCUGCCAACCGAAAUCGGGGGAGACAGUUGCGAUAACCGGUGCAGCCGGUGCUGUGGGCUCGCACGUUGGUCAAAUAGCUAAGAUUUUAGGUUGUAAAGUAAUUGGUUUCGCGGGAUCUGAUGCAAAAUGCGACUAUUUGGUCAAAGAGCUCGGUUUUGACCACGCUUUUAAUUACAAGACAGCAGAUAUCAAGGCGGCACUGAGACAGGCAGCUCCUAACAGAGUUGAUUGUUAUUUUGAUAACGUCGGAGGUGAAAUAAGUCACACAAUCAUGACACACAUGAAUAAGUAUGGCAGAGUUGCUGUGUGUGGUUCAAUAUCAUCGUACAACGACUUUAAACCGCCAAAAGUGACCAUAAUGCAGCCGGCCAUAGUAUUUAAGGAGUUAAAAGUGGAGGGAUUUUUAGUAAACCGAUGGUCGCAUAGAUGGGAUGAGGGCAUAAAUAUGAACCUAAAAUGGCUGCAAGAAGGCAAAAUUAAAUAUAAAGAAGAGAUAUACCACGGUUUUGAGAAUAUGGUGACAGCCCUAAAUGGUAUUCUUAGAGGAGAAAAUACGGGAAAAGCCGUUGUUAAAGUCAAUUAAUAAUUAAAAUUAUAUAUUACUUCCGUGCGAUUCUGUAACUCACUUUUCGAACUCUCACAGCGCGUCCGCCGCGGCCGCUAUGAAAACCGCUGUGUGAGGUCCUAAGUGAGUUACAGAAUCGCAAGGCUAUCAAUUAAAUUUCGUACAUUUCUUAUAGUUUAAGUCAAAGUCCAUUUGUAAUAAAUAAUCUUGUUAUAUUUUUUCUAUUGAAGUAAUGAAUAAAUUUACUGCUGUUUA